UACCCCGUACGUCUGGCGUUGCCAAAGUAGGCAACAUGCCCGAUUCAAAAUAAGUAAAGCGGCCAGAAAGAAAAUAAACAGAAGAAUAAAUAAGGACAGACGCGAGUAGGUCGAUAUUGAUAUUUUAACAAGAAAAUUUCAAUGUCAAUAAUUCCAUAAAGGAAAUGGAAUUAGACUUAAAAAGGAAAAUAUGGAAAAGUGGAUAAAGUGCACUUAGGCUCGAAAAUUGGAAAAUUAGGAUUCAAUUCCCGGAAAAUGGAAAUUUAAUAGAUUAUUGACGGGAAUUAGAACUUAUAAAAAAUAAUAUCGAAUAAUUGGGUAUCGAUAUUUGUUAAAGCAAAAUUUAAAAGGAAAAAGUGAGAAAAAGUUCAUUUUAGCUCAAAUUGGAAUUUGAGCGUUUUUAGCUAAAAAAUUGCAAAAAUAAAUUAUCGGAGAUAGAAUUAUGAGAUAUUAAGUCGAUAUUAUUUAUUUGGACAUAAAUAAUACACAAUUUAUCGAGAUCAAAAGAUUAAGUGAUCGACGGACUAAAUUGGACGAAAGAAAAGUUAAAAAUCGAAGCGUGAGGAGGUGGUAAACUUAAGGAUCAAAUUGGACAUUUUCCAACCCAUGAUUAUCACUUAUAUGUGAUAAUAUUGCUGGAAUAUUCAUUUUAUGACAGCAACAAAAUAAUUAGAGAGAAAAGGUGGUCUUCUUCUUCCUUGAGAAGAAAUGAUGGAAAAAUCUUCAAAAAUUCAUAUCUUCUUCGUUUUAGCUCCGAUUGGGGCGAUUCUUGCGGCCACGGAACGAGGAGGAGGAGCUCUACUGAUCUAGACCUAUUAAUCAAGAAUUGACGAGGCGACUACCAAUGGAACCCGGAACUUACAGAACGCGACAUCGCUUAGCUAGUAUCAGAGAUUAUGGAUAGCAAGCGUGUGUUUUUCAGGUACCUAGAUUCUAGACGUCGCUAGAAGUUCGUCUUUAACCGGAAGUUCCUUUGGCUAUGUACAGCCCCGACUUCCGUAGAUGCUGCAGUAGUAUGAUGUCUGACCAGUGUCGUGGCCUAUUACAGCAGUGAAAUUUUAUAUGGUUUAUAGUUAAUGUCUGUUGUGUAUAUGAGGUCUGGCUACAAUAGUUAUCACGGAGGUAAAUUCCCGUGAUGUAAUUUUGACAUAGUGGUUUAUGCCGGGCUAAUACGUUCAUGAUACGGAAACGAUAAGUCCGAGCACGUUGUAUGGUUUUACCACUGUAUAUAAAUGUAUUUUUGUUUAAAUGCGGUGUUUGUAAAGUCAUUAUAUGAUUGUUUAUUGCGAAAAAGUCUUAGUGAA